UGGGGAAUAUUAGGCAAUGGGCGCAAGCCUGACCCAGCGACGCCGCGUGAGGGAUGAAGGUCUUCGGAUUGUAAACCUCUUUCAGUGGGGAAGAAGCGAAAGUGACGGUACCCAAAGAAGAAGCACCGGCUAACUAUGUGCCAGCAGCCGCGGUAAUACAUAGGGUGCAAGCGUUGUCCGGAAUUAUUGGGCGUAAAGAGCUCGUAGGUCGUUUGUUACGUCGGAUGUGAAAACCUGAGGCUCAACCUCAGGCCUGCAUUCGAUACGGGCAAACUAGAGUUUGGUAGGGGAGACUGGAAUUCCUGGUGUAGCGGUGGAAUGCGCAGAUAUCAGGAGGAACACCAAUGGCGAAGGCAGGUCUCUGGGCCAAUACUGACACUGAGGAGCGAAAGUCUGGGGAGCGAACAGGAUUAGAUACCCUGGUAGUCCAGACCGUAAACGGUGGGCACUAGUUGUGGGAACCUUCCACGGUUUCUGCGACGCAGCUAACGCAUUAAGUGCCCCGCCUGGGGAGUACGAUCGCAAGAUUA
rnacentral:rRNA from 1 species